UAUUUUCCAAUUUAAUAUCUAAUUUGAAUGUUUUGACAGAGUCUUUUGCAAUUGAGCAGGAUGAGGAAUCACACCAAUCAUUUGUAAAUGAAAGCAGCAGUCAUGAUGUUGUCAAUGAGAAUGAAUUUUAAAUAGGAUAUGAUACAGGGCCACUUUUAAGUGAUGAAGCAGACAAGUAUGAUGAUGGUAAUGAUGAUGAAUCAUACCAUCCUUCAAGCGAUGAAAAAAGCUGUGAUGAAGAUACCAUUAAUGAUCUUGAUAUGCCCAGUAAGCCUUUCAAAUCUGAAAUGCAGCAGAAACAAGCUGCACUUGCAAGUGACAGUGAAAAGGACAGUGAAUGUGAAGAUGAUCAUGAUGAUGUCAGCAAAGUUUUACCACAGUCAGAGAAGCGAAAGACCAGUUUUUUAGAGGCCAAAAACA